rnacentral:rRNA from 1 species
CCCCAGACUCCUACGGGAGGCAGCAGUGGGGAAUAUUGCACAAUGGGGGAAACCCUGAUGCAGCGACGCCGCGUGAGUGAAGAAGUAUUUCGGUAUGUAAAGCUCUCUCAGCAGGGAAGAAAAUGACGGUACCUGAUUAAGAAGCCCCGGCUAACUACGUGCCAGCAGCCGCGGUAAUACGUAGGGGGCAAGCGUUAUCCGGAUUUACUGGGUGUAAAGGGAGCGUAGACGGCAGUGCAAGUCUGAAGUGAAAGCCCCGGGCUUAACCCGGGAAUUGCUUUGGAAACUGUACGGCUGGAGUGCUGGAGAGGUAAGCGGAAUUCCUAGUGUAGCGGUGAAAUGCGUAGAUAUUAGGAGGAACACCAGUGGCGAAGGCGGCUUACUGGACAGUAACUGACGUUGAGGCUCGAAAGCGUGGGGAGCAAACAGGAUUAGAUACCCCAGUA